rnacentral:rRNA from 1 species
GAUGAACGCUGGCGGCGUGCCUAAUACAUGCAAGUCGAGCGAACAGACGAGGAGCUUGCUCCUCUGACGUUAGCGGCGGACGGGUGAGUAACACGUGGAUAACCUACCUAUAAGACUGGGAUAACUUCGGGAAACCGGAGCUAAUACCGGAUAAUAUAUUGAACCGCAUGGUUCAAUAGUGAAAGACGGUUUUGCUGUCACUUAUAGAUGGAUCCGCGCCGCAUUAGCUAGUUGGUAAGGUAACGGCUUACCAAGGCGACGAUGCGUAGCCGACCUGGGAGGUGGAUCCGCCCACAGGGAGGGGAGCAGCGCCCCGACCCCCUAGGGGAGGCAGAAGUGGGGAAUCUUCGCAAAAGGGCAAAAGCCUGCAGGAGAAACGCCGCGUGGGUGAAGAAGGUCUUCGGAUCGUAAAACUUUUUUAUUGGGGAAAAACAAAUGUAGAAGUAAAUAGGCCAGUUUGACGGGAACCUAAUAAAAAAGCCCCGGUAAACUACUG